rnacentral:ncRNA from 1 species
AUGUGAAGUAGGCCCACCCGCAAGCGGGUCGUCCUUCUUCACGAAGCCCUUAUUCGCACUGCGUGCUCAACGGGG